rnacentral:rRNA from 1 species
UAAGCCUGCGAAGGUGUACUGUGAGGUAUGCUGGAGGUAUCAGAAGUGCGAAUGCUGACAUAAGUAACGAUAAUGCGGGUGAAAAACCCGCACGCCGGAAGACCAAGGGUUCCUGUCCAACGUUAAUCGGGGCAGGGUGAGUCGACCCCUAAGGCGAGGCUGAAAAGCGUAGUCGAUGGGAAACGGGUUAAUAUUCCCGUACUGGUGGUAACUGCGAUGGGGGAACGGAGAAGGCUAGGUUGUCCGGGCGACGGUCGUCCCGGUUCAAGCAGGUAGGCAGAGUGAUUAGGCAAAUCCGGUCACUUAAUGCUGAGAUGUGAUGACGAACCACCAAGGUGGUGAAGCAAUUGAUGCCCCGCUUCCAGGAAAAGCCUCUAAGCUUCAGGUUACCAACAAUCGUACCCCAAACCGACACAGGUGGUCAGGUAGAGAAUACUCAGGCGCUUGAGAGAACUCGGGUGAAGGAACUAGGCAAAAUGGUGCCGUAACUUCGGGAGAAGGCACGCUGGCGG